UACGUAGGGUGCAGGCGUUAAUCGGAAUUACUGGGCGUAAAGCGUGCGCAGGCGGCUUCUCAAGUCAGAUGUGAAAUCCCCGGGCUUAACCUGGGAACUGCGUUUGAAACUGGGAGGCUAGAGUGUGGCAGAGGGGGGUGGAAUUCCACGUGUAGCAGUGAAAUGCGUAGAUAUGUGGAGGAACACCGAUGGCGAAGGCAGCCCCCUGGGCCUGCACUGACGCUCAUGCACGAAAGCGUGGGGAGCAAACAGG
rnacentral:rRNA from 1 species